AACUGGCGCUGUGGGAUGAACCAAACGUCGAGUUAAGGGGCCUAAAUGAAUGCUCAUUCAGAUCCCAUCGAAAGGCGUUGGUUGCUAUAGACAGCAGGACGGUGGCCAUGGAAGUUGGAAUCCGCUAAGGAGUGUGUAACAACUCACCUGCCGAAGCAACUAGCCCUUAAAAUGGUAUGGCGCUCAAGCAUUCUCCCGAUACUCGACCGCCGGGGCACUAGCGGCCACGCCCGAGAGGCGAGGUCUCGAAGCCCCGGUGAGUAAGAGGGUCGCAGUGGUGAGCGCUGAAGGGAUCCGGCGUGAGCCGGCCUGGAGCCGCCACUGGUGCAGAUCUUGGUGGUAGUAGCAAAUACUCGAGAGAGACUCCCUUGAAGACCGAAGUGGAGAAGGGUUCCAUGUGAACAUCAGUUGGACAUGGGUUAGUCGCUCCUAAGCCCAAGGCUAAGGCCUGAUCCCACGCUAGCGGC
rnacentral:rRNA from 1 species